rnacentral:sRNA from 1 species
GUUCUAUGAAGGCCAUGGAGAGUGACAUGAUAGAAGAGAUGGUCAAGGAUGUGAAUGAUGGGUCUAUUUGUAUAAAGACAAUAGUUGGUGAUGAAGAUAGCACAAUGAUUUCAAAACUUCGGACAAACAUUGACACAAAUAUUGGUAAAACAUUGGAUGCUUAUCAUGUGAAGGAAAUCUUAAGGAACCAUCUAUAUUGUGAAAAAAUAACACACAACUUUAACUUUCAAAGUCAUACAGUAUCUCAAAAGAUGUUUAUACUACAUCUUUGCCCAAAUAAAAAGCAGAUGUUGCAAGGAUAAGCCAAGGAUGUGCUCUUGUCUGCUUCAAUAUUUAUGUUAGAUAUAUAAUAAAAUUGUUGAUAGCGUUCGUUCUGGAGCGGUAAUUGUCAGCUUCUAGAUUGGUAAUACAUGUAACAAUGUUGAAAGGGCUUUUGAUUUGGGUGCAUUAUUUGUAUAAGUUUGUUGAUCUAUUACAUUGUACAUAUACAUGUGAGGAGUUAAAUGUCCAGUAUAAACUUGAUUAGUUUAAAAAAAAAUUCAUACCAUAAUAUAUGGUUGUAACAGUAAUGGAUGUUGUUCUGCCAAAAUAGCUUGAAAUUAUAUUCGGCGUUUGUACUGUGCAUUUUGUACAUGAUGUAAUGCUGAUUUCAAUCUUUUUUUAUGUUUCAGAGUUGAAAAAAAUAAUUAUAAUACAUGUAGCAAAUCAUAAAUUAAAUAUUUAUUUGUUUAU